rnacentral:lncRNA from 1 species
AAAUUAAAAACAUGCAUUGAAAAAAAUAGUACAGUUUGGAGUGUGUUGAAUUUAAGCUACUUUAAGGAACAAUCAGAUGAAGGCUGGGAGGAUCCUCCUCCUUCAUUGCCUCUGUCUCCUCUUCGGGUCCCAGGAUUCACACUCACCUGCUGGCCUGUCUCCCUAGCACCAGGACCGGAGGACAGUGCUGGGAGGAGAAUUCCAAGUGGAUCCAGACAAGUGAGGAGUGAGAGUGAAUCCAGGGGGCACUGUCCAGAGACCUGGGAUAUGCAUGGGGUUACAGGCUCACAGUUGGGCAGUUUAAAAGGCCUUAGAGCCAACAGAGGGUUUAAAUCAUGCAUACUGAGCACUGAGCUUCUGUGCAAGGAAGAAUAAAUAAAUGAAAGAUGCCAUGAAGGAGAAUGCUUGGCUGGCCACUGAGAAGUACAUACAUUUGAAUCUGUUUCCCUCGAGCAAUGCAUUCAGGUGAGACUGCCCUUUCUUAAUUAGUAACAGAACUGCUCUUUUUGAGAAAUGAGUUCACUAUGGCACAAGUGAGACCUACAACUAACUUGUUGCAUUUUUAGAUGCC